GCCUGGGUGGCUCAGUGGUUGAGCAUCUGUCUUUGGCUCAGGUCAUGAUCCUGGAGUCCUGGGAUCAAGUCCCACAUUGGGCU
rnacentral:tRNA from 1 species